rnacentral:misc_RNA from 1 species
GAAAUGCGAUAAGUAAUGUGAAUUGCAGAAUUCAGUGAAUCAUCGAAUCUUUGAACGCACCUUGCGCCCUUUGGCAUUCCGAAGGGCACGCCUGUUUGAGUGUCAUGUUCAUCUCAGUCCAUCAGUUUUUUCUAAAGCUGGCAUUGGAUUGGAUUUGGGAGCCUGCUGGCCCUUCUAUGGGUCGGCUCUCCUUGAAUGCAUGAGUGAGCAUCUGACUCGCGUUGCUGAUGUGAUAGUCUUUCAUCAUUGGCGGCGCUUGUCUAAUGGGCUUGCUUUCGAACCGUCUUCUCAUCGGAGACAAUUUUUGACAUAUUUGACCUCAAAUCAGGUGGGACUACCCGCUGAACUUAA